AUCGACUGCGAGUCUAGGAUAUCAGUCUGCGAGUCGAGUUACGACCAGUCGACAUUCGAGCUCGAGUCUCAUCUCAUCUUCACCGGUUAACUUCACUACUUUUGUAAGUUUUGGUUAUAGGCGGCGAUUUCCAGCUCGAUUCGAUUCCUCACUCCUCACAAAUUCCGGGCAAACGAAGUGUCGAAGACGCUGCUGUCCUGUUCCAGUGUUCCGAGCUCGAUUCAAUUUCAAUUUCAAAGAUGGAAGAUACAAGUAAAGUAAGUGAUGUUGGUUCUAGUGAAAGUUUACCUAUUACGGUAGAUAGUAACACCAACACCAUUGAUACUCAAGAUUCCAAGAAAAGGAAAGCAAUGCAACCUAGGUCUGACGUUUGGAACCAUUUUGAUAAAUUUGAGGUUAAUGGGGUUGGGAAAGCACGGUGUCGAUAUUGUAAAUAAGCUUAUGCUGCUAAU